rnacentral:rRNA from 1 species
GACAGAGGGGGCAAGCGUUGCUCGGAAUUACUGGGCGUAAAGGGCGCGUAGGCGGCGACUCUAGUCAGAUGUGAAAGUCCUGGGCUUAACCUGGGGACUGCAUUUGAUACUGGGUUGCUUGAAUUCGGGAGAGGAUAGCGGAAUUCCCAGUGUAGAGGUGAAAUUCGUAGAUAUUGGGAAGAACACCGGUGGCGAAGGCGGCUAUCUGGACCGACAUUGACGCUGAGGCGACGAAAGCGUGGGGAGCAAACAGG